AUUGAACGCUGGCGGCAGGCUUAACACAUGCAAGUCGAGCGGGGGAGGUUGCUUCGGUAACUGACCUAGCGGCGGACGGGUGAGUAAUGCUUAGGAAUCUGCCUAUUAGUGGGGCAACAUUCCGAAAGGGAUGCUAAUACCGCAUACGCCCUACGGGGGAAAGCAGGGGAUCUUCGGACCUUGCGCUAAUAGAUGAGCCUAAGUCGGAUUAGCUAGUUGGUGGGGUAAAGGCCUACCAAGGCGACGAUCUGUAGCGGGUCUGAGAGGAUGAUCCGCCACACUGGGACUGAGACACGGCCCAGACUCCUACGGGAGGCAGCAGUGGGGAAUAUUGGACAAUGGGCGGAAGCCUGAUCCAGCCAUGCCGCGUGUGUGAAGAAGGCCUUUUGGUUGUAAAGCACUUUAAGCGAGGAGGAGACUCUUAAGGUUAAUACCCUUGAUGAGUGGACGUUACUCGCAGAAUAAGCACCGGCUAACUCUGUGCCAGCAGCCGCCGUAAAAC
rnacentral:rRNA from 1 species